GCCCGGGUCCCGGUCUCUUCCGGCAAGCCACGCCACCUCUUGCCUUUCUGCCCACUAACAAUAAGAUUGUUGUCGUUCUUGAUGACUGUUUGGACACAGGCUGCUCCCCCUCCUGAGCCCCUCAAAAGCGAAACCGGAAUGGGAAUGGGGAGCCGCCUGUCUUCCAGCAGGAGGGUGGUGCCGACUCCCGCCGAGUGACUCCGGGCCCCGCGCGGUCCCUGUCACCUUGUAUUCUCAUUGCCCGUUCCGCGGCUGUCAGCUCCCAGGAUUGCCCCAUUUAGCUCUCGACACCCCCUCUGCGUCAGGCGCUGUGCCGAUCCCUGAAUUCAGCGGAGGUCAAUGUGAUGGGAGUCGGGGCGAUACCUGCGACAGGGAAGGAUGCAUUUCCGCUGAGACCAUAAAGAUCAUAAAGACCUGCACUUUGAAGACCUGGCACAAGACCAGACAGAGGGAACAGCCAGCACAAAACUCAUUAGGGGUCGGGGGGCAGAAAGAGAUCGGCCGGUCCAAGGAAUUGCAAAAUGGCCUGUGUGGCUGGAGAGUAGUAUGACAAGAGGUAGGCAGAGGCCAGGUGUAGGGCUCUGGGGGCCUUGGAUUUUGUUCUGAGUGCAAUGAGACGGUAAUGGAGUUGUUUGCAGGAGAGUCCCAUGAUGUUAUUGAAUCUGUGAAGAUCCAUAGAGUAGCUUGCAUGGGGGAGAGGCGAAGAUGACAACAGGGACGCCAGGUAAGAGGCCAAGUAGUCCACGAGAGAGAAGUAUGGCUUUGGCAGGGUGAGAGUAAUGAAGAUGGGGAGGAAUGGACAGAUUUGGAUGUUUUGUAGAUAGAGGGAUAAGGGGAAGGAGUUGAAAGAAAGAAAACUCAAGAAUAACUUAAGUUUUUGACAUGAGCAACCAGGUGUUAUGAUCCCGUUUACUGAGUUGUGUGUGGAGCGUCUUAAGUUGGAUGAAUAAACAGGAAAAAAAA